GACAGAGGAUGCAAGCGUUAUCCGGAAUGAUUGGGCGUAAAGCGUCUGUAGGUGGCUUUUUAAGUCUGCCGUCAAAUCCCAGGGCUUAACCCUGGACAGGCGGCGGAAACUACCAAGCUGGAGUACGGUAGGGGCAGGGGGAAUUUCCGGUGGAGCGGUGAAAUGCGUAGAGAUCGGAAAGAACACCAACGGCGAAAGCACUCUGCUGGGCCGACACUGACACUGAGAGACGAAAGCUAGGGGAGCGAAUGGG
rnacentral:rRNA from 1 species